rnacentral:rRNA from 1 species
AGAUUGAACGCUGGCGGCAUGCCUAACACAUGCAAGUCGAACGGGAGUAGCAAUACUCUAGUGGCGGACGGGUGAGGAAUACGUAGGAAUUUGCCCUUAAGUGGGGGAUAACCCGGGGAAACCCGGAUUAAUACCGCAUGACCUCGAAAGAGCAAAGUGGGGGAUCGCAAGACCUCACGCUUUUGGAGGAGCCUACGUCGGAUUAGCUAGUUGGUGAGGUAAUGGCUCACCAAGGCGACGAUCCGUAACUGGUCUGAGAGGAUGAUCAGUCACACCGGAACUGAGACACGGUCCGGACUCCUACGGGAGGCAGCAGUGGGGAAUAUUGGACAA